GAUGAACGCUGGCGGCGUGCCUAAUACAUGCAAGUCGAGCGAACGGACGAGAAGCUUGCUUCUCUGAUGUUAGCGGCGGACGGGUGAGUAACACGUGGAUAACCUACCUAUAAGACUGGGAUAACUUCGGGAAACCGGAGCUAAUACCGGAUAAUAUUUUGAACCGCAUGGUUCAAAAGUGAAAGACGGUCUUGCUGUCACUUAUAGAUGGAUCCGCGCUGCAUUAGCUAGUUGGUAAGGUAACGGCUUACCAAGGCAACGAUGCAUAGCCGACCUGAGAGGGGGAUCGGCGACACUGGAACUGAGACACGGUCCUGACGCCUACGAGAGGGAGCAGUAGGGAAUCUGAGGCAAUGGGGGAAAGCCUGACGGAGCAACGCGAAGUGAGUGAUGAAGGUCUUCGGAGCGGAAAACUCUGUUAUUAGGGAAGAACAUAUGUGUAAGUAACUGUGCACAGAUUGACGGUAACUAAUCAGAAAGCCACGGCUAACUACGUG
rnacentral:rRNA from 1 species